UACAGAGGUCUCAAGCGUUGUUCGGAUUCAUUGGGCGUAAAGGGUGCGUAGGUGGCGCUGUAAGUCGGGUGUGAAAUUUCGGGAGCUUAACUCCGAAACUGCAUUCGAUACUGCCGUGCUUGAGGACUGGAGAGGAGACUGGAAUUUGACGGUGUAGCGGUGAAAUGCGUAGAUAUCGAUAAGGAAGACCAGUGGCGAAGGCGGGU
rnacentral:rRNA from 1 species